CUUGCUUCAGUAGCAUGUAAUACCAAAACUGGAAUGACACAGAGAAGAUUAGAAUGGCCCCAGCACAAGGAUGACACACAAAUUCUCAAAGCAUUCCAUAUUUUU
ensembl:snRNA U6 U6 spliceosomal RNA